GAUCCUGGCUCAGGAUGAACGCUGGCGGCGUGCCUAACACAUGCAAGUCGAACGGAGCUGCUUUGAUGUAAGUUUUUCGGAUGGAUUUAAAGCAGCUUAGUGGCGGACGGGUGAGUAACGCGUGGGUAACCUGCCUCACACGUGGGGGAUAACAGUUAGAAAUAGCUGCUAAUACCGCAUAAGCGCACGGUUCCGCAUGGAACAGUGUAGAAAAACUCCGGUGGUGUGAGAUGGACCCGCGU
rnacentral:rRNA from 1 species